GCAGUUGGUCGGUCUGUCGCUUGCGUCUCGGCGUAUGAGGAAAGUCCGGGCAACACAGAGCAUCCCACUUCCUAACAGAAAGCUGUCCGCGAGGGUAGAGUAACGUAGAAGAAAACAACCGCCUGCGUCUUCGGGCGUCGGUAAGGGUGAGAAGGUGGGGUAAGAGCCUACCAGUCUUGUGGCAACACAAGGGCUGUGCGUCUUGGGAGUUGUAAGGUCAUGUAAACCGACGCUAUGAGAGCUGCUCGCUCCAUGUCGGAGGGUAGACCGCUAAAGCUUGUAUGGUGACAUACGGCUCAGAUAAAUGAUGGACACCUUGAUGAAUGAAGAAUGAAGAAUUAAGAAUGAAUAAUGAAGAAUUCUUCCUGAAAACAAGGAACAGAACCCGGCUUACAGACCGACUGCUUUU
rnacentral:RNase_P_RNA from 1 species